rnacentral:rRNA from 1 species
AUUGAACGCUGGCGGCAGGCCUAACACAUGCAAGUCGAGCGGAUGAGGGGUGCUUGCAUCCCGAUUCAGCGGCGGACGGGUGAGUAAUGCCUAGGAAUCUGCCCGAUAGUGGGGGACAACGUUUCGAAAGGAACGCUAAUACCGCAUACGUCCUACGGGAGAAAGUGGGGGCUCUUCGGACCUUACGCUAUCGGAUGAGCCUAGGUCGGAUUAGCUAGUUGGUGGGGUAAAGGCUCACCAAGGCGACGAUCCGUAACUGGUCUGUGAGGAUGAUCAGUCACACUGGAACUGAGACACGGUCCAGACUCCUACGGGAGGCAGCAGUGGGGAAUAUUGGACAAUGGGCGAAAGCCUGAUCCAGCCAUGCCGCGUGUGUGAAGAAGGUCUUCGGAUUGUAAAGCACUUUAAGUCGGGAGGAAGGGUUGUAGGUUAAUACCUUGCAGCCUUGACGUUACCGACAGAAUAAGCACCGGCUAACUUCGUGCCAGCAGCCGCCGUAAAAC